rnacentral:lncRNA from 1 species
AAAUCUUCUUGUAACAGUUUGGGAGCUGGCAGCGUCAUAGAGUGAACUGAAAUACGCCAAAUGUAGGUCAUGUUCCUUUUUCCCUACUACUAAUUCUUUGAAUCAUCUUUGGCAACUCAUUUUCAUUUUCUUUUCUGUUCUUUGAAAUACAGGACUGCUGCAGUGGUCUGAUACAAUUUCUGGAAGGGAGGUUGGAGAGCAGGGAAGGAAAUACACAUUGUUCUGCAGUAGAAUGCUUAGGAAUUUGUGCAGUCCAAUGUCAUGCAGCUGUACCAGCAAUGGAAGAAAUAUGGCGACAAUUAUGUGGGAUGUUCUUUGGAGUUAAACUUUCUAUUUGGCAGAGGUUAGUCACUCCAGUAUCAAAUGACUUUUUGUUGUUGUUGUUGUUAGUUUGCUCCUUCCAGUGCGCUCUUCCUUGGCUGCUAG